rnacentral:rRNA from 1 species
UACGUAGGGUGCAGGCGUUUAAUCGGAAUUACUGGGCGUAAAGCGUGCGCAGGCGGUUUCUUAAGUCAGAUGUGAAAGCCCCGGGCUUAACCUGGGAACUGCGUUUGAAACUGGGAGACUUGAGUGUGGCAGAGGGGGGUGGAAUUCCACGUGUAGCAGUGAAAUGCGUAGAUAUGUGGAGGAACACCGAUGGCGAAGGCAGCCCCCUGGGUUAACACUGACGCUCAUGCACGAAAGCGUGGGGAGCAAACAGG